GGCUUAUUUUGGAGACCAAUCAACCGUAACAAAAUCAGAUAUGUAAAUCGAGCAAGUAUGAAAAUCAGUGUGACAUGAAUGAAUAGUAAAAAAAGCCUCUCUUUUAAGUGAGUAAAAAUUUACAUAUUGUGUAAAAUAAAUUUGGUGUCAAGGGUCUUCGUAAUUGCCUUCGUAAUAAUUAAACGUAGAGCCUCUAAACUCUCACUACCGGCCCUGCUCUCCGCCUCUCCAUCUUGCCGCCUUCCACCUCUGACCAUCGGCCUCCGACGUUCUAGCCCUAUACGCAGGUCACGCAGCACCUUCAACCCCUAGACGCCUUCGAGCCCUUGAACUUCUCGAGACACGGCAGCCGGCAGCUGUCCUUCGAGUCUACAUUUCCACCAACGAUUCAAUGGUAGAAGAAGAAGGUGAAGCCCAUUGAUUCUGAUUCCUAAACCGCACUCAAGUUCUAUCUAAAAAUUAAUUUUCUUGUUCAUUCUGUAAAAAAAAAAAAAAAAGUGCGUAUGUUUUACUUUUUAGUGAAUUCCUACUAUUUCUUGAUUUAAACUGUGGGGGAAAUGGAUUUUGAUUACUGGGCUGCUGGAGUUCAUUCAACUAAGAAGUUUUCUACUCUCCAAGAUGCCAGACUUAAUAAAUCAAGUGUGGAUAAUUGAUUAAUUUCACAGUUAUAGUUUUGGGUUCUUGAAUUGCUUUUUUAUUUUCUUGCUCAAAAUAAUUGUUUUUUCGUGAGGUUUUGCUGAAUAAUUGCUGAUUAGUUUUUUAUAGUUGAUUCAGCUUAAAAAUUAUGCUUUAAGCACUGUUUAUUUGGCUAUAACCUGAAUUUGUAGUGGUUUUGAGUAAUUACUGAUAAUUAGGACAUAUUUUAACGAAAACAAGAAAACUUGGGGAAUUGAAGGCACCGAGUUUCUGAAAUUUCAUAUUUUUCACACACUUUAUAUCUAGUUAGAGUGUAGAAAGGCGAGAGGGAAAAGGUUUAAUGUAUAAUUAAUGUAGCUUGAAUUUAACAGUGCAAGUUUUUGGGUUCUUGAAUUUUCUUUUUCUAGCUCCUAAUUUUUCGCGAGAUUUUGUCAAUUAAUCGAUGAUUUAUUUAUUUGUGUUUGACAUGGGAGAUCCUGGCCCAUUUUUCUGAUCAUAUUUCCUUUGAUUUUGAUCAUUCUGCUCUGAAAUUGGAGUAGCAUCAUAAUUCUAUUGUAUAUGUCUAUUUUAGCUUACACUUCUGCUCUACACACUCAAAACUGAAUUAUAUGAACAUUCUUGAAUGGGUCGUAGCCCUCUUACCAUUGUGUUAUUUUCAUCAAACAAAUUCUCUUUUGGAUUAGGCAGAGUCUCGAAGGUAGAUUUUGUUUUACAUAAUAUCAACCCUCUUAGAAAAUUCCAUGGCGCUGCCUCUUCUUGUGAGCUCAUUUAUGCACCACAGCAUGCCAUCCCCUUUUUUCACAUUGGAGAGAAGUAUAAAACUACAAAAUAUGUGAUAACUGGUGUGACAGAAGGCUUGGAUACAUUUGAUGCCAGUGGCAUGAAAAAGAUCAGUGGUGGUCAAUGAAGUAGGAUUGAUGUGCCUCCUCCUUCACCCACCUCUGUCAACCUUUCUCUUUGGAGUAACAGUAUUGACAUUUAAAUCAGUAGCUAUGCUUGCUAAAGCAAUAAGAAGAAGUGGUAAUUCUUCCCCAACUUCUCAAAGUAGAUGUAAGAGGCAAGAAUAGUUGUGAUCCACGUGUUGCAAUGAGUUGACUUGCAGUCAGUAUUCCUUUUAUUGAAGUGUGUAGAAAGACAAGGUUGAGAUAAACAAGUAUAGGUUUGACAGUAGGCACAUAAUGGUAGGGAGCCUAGGGAUUGCAAUGUAAUUUAGGAAUCAAUCCAUUGACUAAAUGUAAAUUUAUUUUUACCUUACCUAUUCUUCAUAUUUGUCAUUUAAUCUUAGGGCAGACAUUAUAUUAUACUGAAAUACAUUUUUUUAUUUGUAUCUAAAUGACCAACAUCUACACGUGUAAAUAAUUUGAUAGGGCUGGCAUUUUCACUGAUUUCACUAGUAGAGAACUGCAUGAGCACACAGUUGCAUUUCCUUGAAAGAGCUAUUUAAUUAAAUGCCUUAUAAAUCUGUGUUAUGUUUACAUUUGUACCUCAAAAAUGAGGUAGAAUGAACAGUUCAUGAGCAUUUUUGAAGUCUUUGGAGAUCUGUGUGGCUUAAACGGAUCAAUGCUUCUAAAUAAUUCAUUGAUUUAUGGUCAACAUACGGAAACAAACAAUCUGUGGAAUUAAUUUUUUUCCUGAUUCUUGUGUUUCAAGAUAAAGGAGCUUAUUAGAGGUGAAGGACGCUCAAAAUGCAGAGCACAUGGAGAUCCCACUGUUCCAGAGUGGAUGGGCUACAAGAUCUUCACCAAAGUUCAUGGUCAGUAAAUGCAGAGACUAAUCCAGAAUAAUAAAGUCAUGCAACCUUGUAAGGUAGUUUAGUUAGAACAUAUUUGUUGUUGAGCAUUGACAGUCUCUUUUUUCUAUCUUAGAGGAGGACAAAAAACUUAAAAAUUCGGCUUUUGGAGUAACAUAUCCACAAACAUUGUUAUAGACAUCAGAGAACUAAGUUCAUAUUCCAUGAGUGGUUGGAUUAAUGGGAGUGAACCUGCACCUGAUCCAUUCCUUUCCCACGUUUCUCUACAAUAUGCCCCUUUCGGAUUCUAAAGAUAGUCAGAAAGAUGUAACUUCUUACAUUGCUGCCACUAGUGAUGUAGAAAUAUCAUUAAUAUCAACAUGAAUUAGACGAAGAGAAGUUGGUUAUGUUUUUCAAUAGCAUGCUUGCAUUUUUUACAUUAUGUAUUCAAGUGUAUAGGAGAAUAUUGUCAUGCUUCACAUUAUGUAUUCAAAAAUUUGUAAUGAAAUUAUAAUUUUUUAUAAAAUUCCAUAAUUUGUCAUUUUCAA
rnacentral:lncRNA from 1 species